rnacentral:lncRNA from 1 species
AUAUUUAAGAUAUUACACAUUAUCUUUUUUAUAUAUUUUAUUAUUUUUUAAAAAAUAAUAUUAAAUUAUUUUUUUCUUUCUGUCCUACAACUCUUACACUUUUUUAUUAUAUUAAUCCCACAAAGUAAAAUUUUUGGAUCCGCCACUCGAGCCAGCUAAACAACUAGAUAGCACAUGAAUCUAAAAGCUAGGGUGCAUUCGAUGGUGAGCUUGUUUAUGUGGAAGAUGGCUUGCGGUUGUCUGCCUACC